rnacentral:lncRNA from 1 species
ACUCGGACACAAGGUACCCUUUCGAGGUAAAUAAGGCACAAAUGUGUACCUUAUGAAAAGAGACAUUUUUCUGAAAGUCUAUAGUAAAAGUUAUUUUUUUAACUUUCACUGAAAGGGAACCAAAAAUGGUUUUUCAGUGGCAUCACUGUGAAAACCCUGUUUGGGAAACUUUUAUUUUUAAGAGAGUACAGCCACAACUUAAACCACAUGAUACUCUAUCUCUGUACAGCUCAAGUUACAUGACAUCAAAAAGCAAACAGUCAUUCAUAAUUCAUAAGGUCGUGUGUAAAGGGUCACUUCUAAGCUCCACUUUCACCUGUUGCUUCUACACCUGUAUUCAAAAAGGAGAAACCAUUGAAGUAUGAAGAAAAAAGUUUGAGCCCAUAAUAAACUGGCUAACAGCUCCUAUAAACAAAAUCACAUAUACCUUGAAGACUGAAAUCUUAACAAACACAAAGAAAUUUCCAGCACCUCUCUCACAAAAACAUCACCAUAGCAUAAACACUUCCUGUAUUUUGUAACAUUUGCAUAAAACCGAGUUUGACAGUCACUCUCCCUCUUCCUCUGUCAUGGCUGCCAUGCUACUUUUCUCUUGCAAUUUCUCCUUCCUUCUGAGAAGGGUUCACCAAUUAACCUAUCCCCAGAAGAGGUCUUCAGAUAAACCCCUUUUGUCCCCCUACAACUGCCCCAGCAUCCCACGACCCACCUCGGGGAAAAAAAUCCAUGCCCCGUACCUGCUGCCCUUUUGAGGAGGGGGGCCGGAGGAAGGAGAGAGCUCCUUUGUCCUUCUCCCCAUCUCCACUGGAGACAGAGGGGUGGGUGGGGACCCUUCGCUCCCCCCAUCUACUCCUCAUCCUCCGCUUCGUCUCAAACCGUUUCAGCCUGAAGAACCUCAAGCGAGGUGGACUAAAGCCCAGUGAGGUGCGCUCUCUCCCAGCGUGCACGCCUGCCUCGCUCCCCUGCUCCGCACAAACUAGGCUGGUUCAGUCCGGGCCCCAGCCUCUUUAGGCAAUGGAGUGGUUUAUUUAAUUUGCCGCUAUAAUGGAGAACUCUGAAUGAGCGGCUGGGGAAAAACCGGCGAGAGAGAAGAGAGAAUGCGGGGCGGGCGCGAAGCAAAAGAAAAAAAGAAAGAAAGAGAGCUAGACGAGUGAAAGAAAAGAGAGAGAGAGAGCGAAAACAAAAGCUAAAAGCUACCACUAUUUUGAUUCACCCAUCCCUUUUUUAAAAAAUUACUUCCAAAGUGUGAUAUCUAUUGUACGGGGAAUAAUGCGGAACAAUGCAAGCGGGGGUCUUGGCAAUAUUCAAAGGGGCUUAUUCAGAGCAGGGCCGGUGGCUGGCUGUACAUUCAGGCCCAGAACACUCCCAUACAUGCUCGUUCGGCGGGCACUAUAGCGCUCAUUGUGAGGGCAGUGUAAACAAAAAGGCACCCCAGAGCACGGUGGGAUGUGGGAAAAAGAGAGCAGCUUUAUUCCCCAGAGGUCCUGCAUUAUUAUGGGGUUAGAACGUGUUGGUUUGUCUGGUGUAGGUCCGACCCCUUGCAGUCACAGCGGCAUCGGACUGCAAUAGUAUUUAAACAGAGUCACAGGAGGGAAACCUUUCAUAGUAUUUAAACAGAGUCACAGGAGGGAAACCUUUCAGAGGGUUUGUGGUUGGUUUGGGCUUCUAAACUCCAUAUCUGUAUAUGGUGAAAUCUGAACAGAUAAAUGGGUUUUUUCAAAACUUUUAAAGGAAAACUGGAAAACAGCCUGUAACAGGAUCCAUUUGUUAACAUAAACUAACAGUGAAAAAUAUUUAUUACUUAUUUAUUAAUCUUAGUUAAUGUUAAUUAUAACAAUUACUGAUACAUUUUUUGAAUCACAAUUGGUGUCUAUUAAUAAUAUUUAAUAGAGCUUAUUAAAAAUGAAGUGUUUUUAGUUUAAACGUCCAAAAAUAUACAUUUAAAGAGAUAUUUCACCCCCCCAAAAAUGAAACUUUUCAUCUUAGGGACCAAUUCUCUCUUUUAAACAGUGGCUUAUUAGCAUGCCUAUUAUUAACAUAUUGGCUGUUUAUUAGUACUUAUAAAGCACUUACUCUGCUUGACCAUCUACAUCCCUAUUCCUACACAAUAACUAAACUUAAUAACUACCAACUAUUAAUAAGGAGUUUACUGAGGCAAAAGUCAUAGUUAAUGGUUUGUUAAUAACAAGAAUUGGACCUUAAAAUAAAGUGUGACUAUCUUUUACAAUGAUGUCUUUUUUCGAAGUCGUGGGGGAAAAAAGUUUCUAAAUCUGAGUUUUUUCUGCCGAACACAAAAGAAGAUAUUUUGAAGAAUGUUAGUAGCCAAACUACUAUUGAUUGUAGCCAUUAUCUCCAUGAUCUGAACAAAACACUAUGGAAGUCAAUGGCUACCAUCAACUAUUUGGCUACCAACAUUCUUCAAAAUAUGUUCUUUCGAGGAUGAGUAAAUGACAGAAUUUUUAUUUUUGCAUUAACUAUCCCUUUUAGUGUUUAUUUUAUUAUUUGUGUUUCUAGAUAUCUUUGGCCGUUUUCUCAGAAUAUGUUUUUUUCCUCAUGCACUGAGCCAGAAAUCUGUACUUCAGUAGCAGUUACAUACAGUACAUAACUUUCCAGUUUUAUUCCUAACUAUAUUCUGAAGGUUUUUACAGAGGAGUUUGUUCUUCCAUCAUUCUCCUGGUUUGGACUUUCGACGGUAUUUUCUGAGUCAUGGAUGCCUUAAAUAACAAAUAUUAAUAAAUGUAACAAAUCCAUUGCUUGUUGUUAGUUAGUGCAUUAAUUAACAAUAACUAAUGGGGCUUUAUUCUAAAGUGUUACCAACCUAAAUCAAAUUCAGAGGAAUGACUAAAGUUCAAAAGAAGUCAAAGAAAGAUUCAUAAUUGUAACAGUCAGACUGUUGCUUUUUUGUGCAGCCUGAAAGGCUGGAGCUCCUGAUUACAGCCUGUUUCUACAGAUAGACUCUUCUCCCAUUCACGUGGACUGACACACACGGCUCUCUGAGACCUCACUGAGACUGUGUGUCUCAUUCAUAUGACUCCACCUGAGAGACGCGCUCUGUGUUUACACAAGAUUAUAUUCCCCAUGCUCAACACAUAUACAAACACACACACACAGCAGCCAAUGCGAGGGCUAAACAAACAGCCCCUGUGCACAUAGAGGAGCAGACAUAUCAUUAUGCCACAUAAUAGAGACGGGCCUUGAAUAUCAGAAGUCUGUCUGUCUGGGAUGUCAAUCAAAACAAUUUACACGAGAGCUGAAUGUUUACAGGCACUCUAUGGCUUCUGUUAAGAGAGAGGCAUGUAUAUGUCUAAAUACACAUAUUUAUAUCUAAAUACAUAUUAGAUUUAUAAGGAAUUAUACAUAAAAAGAUUCAAAUGCUGACCACAAGAAAACAGUUUUGAAGAAAUCGCAAAAUUAAGAGGAAUAAUAAAUACUAGUGCCAAAAACUAUACUGUUGAACAUUUCUGCAUUUUCAAAACAUAGUGAAACAUUAGACAUAGGACUUUCACUGCCACUUCAGUAUUCUAAUAUGCUUAUUUGGUACUCAUGAAACAUUUCCUAUUAUUAGCAUUGUUGAAAAAACUGUUUUUGCUGCUUAA